UAAUUACUCCCUCCGUCCCAAAAUUCUUGUCUUACAUUUGUCUAGAUAUGAAUGUAUCUAGUCACGUUUUAGUAUUUAGAUACAACCAUUUCUAGACAAACCUAAGUCAAGAAUUUUGGGACGGAGGGAGUAUUUG
rnacentral:pre_miRNA from 1 species